rnacentral:rRNA from 38 species
UUGACCUCAAAUCGGGUGAGACUACCCGCUGAACUUAAGCAUAU